rnacentral:lncRNA from 1 species
GCCACGUCAGCAGCCACGUCAGCAGGCCCGGUCAGCAGUCCCGGCCAACCGGGGCCUGUCACGUGGCAAGACCGCGUCACUCCGAAAGGAGCCACGUUGGCGAUCCGCGUGGGUGCGAUCCGACGGCCCAAAUCAAUCGCGCGAUCGGACGGCCCAGAUUCAAUAGCACGGACGGCCCAAAUUCAAUCAAAAACGAACGGCCCAGAUUAAAACGAAAUGAACGGCUGUGAUCAAAAGGCAAGGGGUUAUAAAUAGAACCCCCACACCAGACCACAAACCCUAGCUGCCCGCCGCUCGCCGGAGAAGACGAACCAGAGGCCGACCGCCGCCACCCGCCGCCGCACCGGAGAAAUUUCCGACCGCCGAUCGAGGUUGACCGAAGCCGAAUCACCAAAACACGAACCUCGCCGGAGAGCCGCCG